rnacentral:rRNA from 1 species
AUUGAACGCUGGCGGCAGGCCUAACACAUGCAAGUCGAGCGGGGUUUUCGGACCUAGCGGCGGACGGGUGAGUAAUGCGUAGGAAGCUACCCGAUAGAGGGGGAUACCAGUUGGAAACGACUGUUAAUACCGCAUAAUGUCUACGGACCAAAGUGUGGGACCUUCGGGCCACAUGCUAUCGGAUGCGCCUACGUGGGAUUAGCUAGUUGGUGAGGUAAUGGCUCACCAAGGCGACGAUCUCUAGCUGGUUUGAGAGGAUGAUCAGCCACACUGGAACUGAGACACGGUCCAGACUCCUACGGGAGGCAGCAGUGGGGAAUAUUGGACAAUGGGCGCAAGCCUGAUCCAGCCAUGCCGCGUGUGUGAAGAAGGCCUUCGGGUUGUAAAGCACUUUCAGCGAGGAGGAAGGGUUGUGUGUUAAUAGUACACAGCCUUGACGUUACUCGCAGAAGAAGCACCGGCUAACUCUGUGCCAGCAGCCGCCGCGG